UUGCACGGCCAUAUCGCGUUGGCAGGAUACACAGUGUACCUUUUUAGGUUGGAGCAGCCGGAACUUCCUCUCCUGGUUGCAGCACGAGGUAAUUGUUGAAAAUGCUCCAGAGGGCUAGUGGUGCGUGCAGAUGCUGCAAAGCCACGCCUCCUUUGAGGUCACUGGAGGAAAGUAUGCCCCUUGAGGCCCAGCAGUUGUGCACCGACUUAUGUGUUUAUAUCAAGGGCGCAGCUAACGUUCACCAGACAAAGCAAACUGGAUAACCAAAAACAUAAAAGCCUAUCUGAGAGAGGAACAGCUUGUGAUUGGAGGAGCAGUUCCUUGCAGAAAUCUUCAAUUUCACUUACCUGUCUUAGAGUUAAAAUUGGGCCUUGCGUGUCUGACUGCUUCAUGAGCCUCGCUGUAUCUUGUUCUGCUCACAGAUGCCACAGAAACCCUGUAGAGGGCAUCACACUGGAUCAGGCACUGGACUGGAGCAAGUGACCACUCAAAAGUCCACAAAAGCAUCGUGGACAACUGUCAUCGAGGUGAACAGCGAGCACCAUUCCUUUGCUGUUGGCCACAAAAUCUGGGCCAUCAUCAGUGCUUUAUUUUUCAGGGUUACCAUAGCUCUUCAUCGAAGUAACAGCAAAUGCUUGGGAGAAUUCAAGAAGAAUUUUGCACCAACACUCUUAAACUAGGCUUAGGGUGUGGGCUCCAAAUUAAUGUACUGAUGUGAAAAGUAAAAGCCCACUGAGAUGGGAACUCUAAAGCUGCAUAGCAGGAAAAGAAACAGGUGUCCAAAUUUUCUUGACAAGGCAGCAUAAUGAAUAACACUCCUUUUAAAAACCUUACCAUUAAAAACAAUAAAGGUAA